UGAAGUGGGAAAUGACCUGUG
rnacentral:piRNA from 1 species